GCAGGUUCCCUCUGAGAAGUCUCAGGGUCUGAUUUAUUUUUAUAUCUUUAAGCAAUAGCUAAGAGGCAUUGGGUGGAAUAUGUUUACAUUUUAGGUUGCCUUAGCAACAUCUAGUGAGGUAAAGGUUAUUUUUUGCUAAACAGAGUAUAUUUUUUCUAAGCUGAUUCAUUUCAUUGAACAUCAUGAAUACAUUUUUUAAAAUCACAAUUGUCCCCUUAUUUUCCCAUACCUAAGCAGAAUAGAAUGUAACUUAAUCAAAAUCUCCAGAGGGUAACUUAAUCAAAAUCCCUAUAGCAGCGGGGGUACAAGCAAGAUUUAAUUAAUUAAAUGUCAAACUUGUGGUCGUCAGCUGGCCCUUGAGAAACUGUACAAUGGUUAAUAUAGUUUGCUUGCUAUUAGCUCUCUAUUUUUCUAUACCUCUAUUUAUCUUACCUAAGUGUCGUUUAGGUUCAUAGUCCAUGAGCAGGAGAUAUUUGCAGCACUUUGAGAAAUAUUGAGUAACUUGCCUCCUUAAUGCAUUUACCUGUCUUAACUUUCUUUCUUUUUCCCAUUUUCCACUAUUUCUUUCAUGGAAAGUCUGUCUUUCCAAUCUCUUCAUAAGACCCCUUUAGUAAAAAGAAUGUCAGCAAUAAGCGGGGGAGUUAUAGUAGUGGGGAAACAGAGGGGGUUUUAGGAGAGGUUUCUUUAGGAGUGGAUGUGGCAAUAGAACUAAGAGAAACUGGAAUUUGGGACUUUUGAGCCAGAUCAGAUUUCAAUACAUCAUUGCCAAUUUGCCUCGUGGAGAGUUUGUUGUUAGUCACAAACACAGUGACUCCUGUGACCAGAGUAACAAUUAUAAACAUUAUGGCAAGAAAAAAUAAAACAUGAGGGUGCGAUGUGUUCCACCCUUUCUUUCCCCUAGCUGGAACUUUGUCAAGCAGCAAUGGAGGUCGGUUGGGCUUUGUCAUUAUGGCAGGGAGCUGGAGGAGAAUUCAGACAGAAAGCAAGCAGAAGAGUGAGUUAUGGUCAGGGUCGGGGCUAGGACUGGGGAGGCGGUGGGGGGCUGUUUAACCGGGCCGUUUCAGUUCUGCAAGACACAAGUUUGGGAGGUGGAUGGUGGUGACAGCUACACAACAAUGGGAAUGAAUUCAACAGUACUGAAGCAUACACUUAAAACUUAAAAAUAGUUUUAGCUGGGUGGGGUGGCACACACCUGUGAUCCCAGCACUCGGAGGCUGAGGCAGGAAGAUGCUUUGAGUUCAAAGCCAGCCUGAACUACAUAGCUAGACUGUGUCUCAAAGAAAAAUACAAUAUAAAUAAUAAAUUCAAAAUAAAUAAAUACAAUCACAUAAAAAGAGCUGGAGAUGUAGCUCAGUGGUAACGUUUAUUUACUUAGGAAUAACCUGGUACCACCCCCCCCAAAAUCACUAUUAGGUUGCAACUGGCCACAAUUUAAGAACACAAAAAGUGCAGCUAGUUUGUGCCUCCCGAAGUUCCUGCCCAAGGCCGGAACUGCGCUGGCGUCUUCCAGGCGAAGGGUCACCGUGCUGGCGGAGGCCGCGCGUGGACAGGGACGAGACAUCCGGGCCUUCGCUCCUCCCCCGCGCCGACGCCCUUGGUGACCUUGUACGGCCUCUUAACCCGUGACAGAGGACCCAGCCCUGCCCAGCUCUGACUUCACCCCUUCUCCUGGGGACCCCGCUCCCUAGCAGGGAUCAGCCAGCUCGGGGAGGGGACUCGGGCCACAAGCAGGUGACCCUGGAGGAGGGCGGGCAGGGACCGCUCCCCCACCCCCCGCGCUGCCCUCGCCAACCCCGCCUGUCGCCAGGUCCCCGGGCCAUCUGCAAAGGACGGAGCCUGGGACCAGGAACGGGUCGGGGCGGUGACUCAGGCGCUGGUCCAAGUUCUGCGCGGCUAUCCCUGUCAAAUUCCAGGUCAGGGUUCGGGUUUCAGGCUCGGACCUGACUCCCGCCUCUGGGGCCAAGUGGACCACGCAGACGGUAUGGUGGCCCACGUCUGUAGUACCAGCACUUGGGAGGCCGAGGCAGGAGGAUCACUGUGAGUUGGAGGCCAGCCUGGGCUACAUAGCGAGACCCUGUUUCCAAAAACAAACCCCCAAAAUAUAUCUUUCCAGAAAUAUGCAGGUCUGAGAUUCAAUUCUUGUGUUUUAAAGUCUCAGCUCUUGUAUUUCAAAAAAACAGAAGAUUUCGAAUGUUUCCCCAUACAGAAAUGCUAUUUGAGAAGGCAAGAUUAACACGAUUCAAAGGUUGCACAACACACAAUAAAAUAUGACGUGGUUCCCUACAAACGUGGCCAAUUUGUAUGUUUUUAUGUCUCAGUUAAAAAUAAAUUUCCCUAUGAUGAGUGUUAAUUAUGUAUGCCUAAAAUGCACCAAUAAAUGUUUUGCUAUAAAAAAUAAAUAAAAU
rnacentral:lncRNA from 1 species